AUUUAUAUAGUUUAAAAAAAAACAUUAUAUUUUCAAUAUAAAAUUAAUUUAUAAAUUUAUAAAUA